ACGCUCGACACCUACGGGAGCAGCAGUGGGGAAUAUUGCACAAUGGGGGAAACCCUGAUGCAGCGACGCCGCGUGGAGGAAGAAGGUCUUCGGAUUGUAAACUCCUGUUGUUGGGGAAAAAGAGGAUGGUACCCAACAAGGAAGUGACGGCUAACUACGUGCCAGUAGCCGCAGUAAUCUGAGCGGGCUGGCAAGGC
rnacentral:rRNA from 1 species